CGGUGCCGGUGGCAGAAACGAGGACAGGGCGCUGCCAGAGAGCCGGCUCCAGCAUUUAUGGCGUGCGGGCACUCGGUCGGUGGAGACAUGGAUCGAGGACCCCUCCGCGGGUGGGUCCGACAGCGUGGGGGUGAACAGGAGCUUUUGGCAGAACCUCCAGGCUCAGCCCCUUUGCCCGCUGCCUUUUUGUGAGCCACCCAACAGCACCAAAUUCCCCGAAGCCAGGGACAGCUCCAGGUAGCUCAGCACCAAGUCCAGGCAGGUGGAUGCUAUUUAAAGUCCCACUUGUUCUGCCAAAAUGAGCUUCGUGCGAAAUCAAGACAGGAUGGAGCCCGUUUUCAGCAGGACCUCGCUUGUCUCCCACAGACACUCUCUAUAGAGAAUAUGCCACUUCAGAGCGGAGACAUUGAUUUAAUGCCUUGGGCUUGUACACAGAAAAUAUCAAUCGACCGCCAGCGAUAAGGCAGCAGGUCUCACAUAUCAGCUGAGGAGCACAGACCGUGUGUAAUGGAAAUAUUCGGGGCGUGGGCAGUAAAAGGUUUUAAGCGGACCAACGCGGCUCCAAACCUCUCAGAGAUAAGAAGCGGAGCCUGUCACGGAUAUAACGUGUGCCCCGCCGCCACCCAGGCCAUAUUCUUUCCUUUUCUUGGUGCGGGCACAUGGUGGCCGAGGCGGGCAGUGACCCCCUGACACAGCAGGGAUGCGGGUCGUCGCAAAAAGCAGGGUGUAGAGUAAGACUUGGAAUUCAACAUGGGGAAGAAACGUCCUCUGCUUUCUGCCCCGCUCCAAGCUGCCCGGCCUUAAUCCCGUGCUUACGAAGACGCCGGUGCAAAACCAGGGUGGAAGUGGGCUCCAUAAAAAAGAAGGAGAAUCCCCUCCCGCCCCAUAGAUGUUCAGAGGGGAGCUUACGAGCGUCUCCUUCCAGCCGGACCGGUGUCUCCGCCCGGGGGGGAGCAGCCGAGGGGUACGGGGUUUUUUGCCUUGCCAGAGCUCAGCCCUAGGCCACAGGCAAAGCGGGGAGCCGGCGGGCUGUAGCCUCUGGCCGCUGCUGCAAUUUAUAGGGGAACUGCGCCUUUUCCUGCCCGGCAAUUAUCUCCAACCGGCCACGUGCGAGGGAGCGAAAACGGCUCAUUCAGGGUCAUUAAAGCCAAGCGGGGAGCCGGUCGGGGUGGCGGGGGAUCUCUCCGUGAAGACUCCGGAGGAGCUGGGGCGCCGAUGGAGCCCCCGGGCUGCGGCAGGGGCCGGCAGCGCCGGGGGGGUGGGCAGGCGGGCGGGCGGCCGGAGGGGAUCCCGGCCCCGGGCACCUCCGCACGGCCCCUGCUCUCCGCAGGGGAGACAAGUGGAAAUACACACAACACACAAUGACCAGGCGAAAAUCACAUCACAAUAGUGCACAGAGUGACUGAGGUCUUUUCAGCGGGAGAAAAAAAUUAGGGAAGAGUGGAAAAUGGGAGGCGAUAAGAAGAAAACCUGCCUUUGUUCUCUCUGGUUAUUUUCUACUAAUUAUUCUGCCCAUUGUGACAAAGUAGCAGUUAAGGAUAGAUUAGUGUAAAUAACCUCACAUUUCACUCCCGAACCGCGCAACUUUCUGGCCCAAGCCGUGCCAUGGUGUUUGUGUUUCUCCCCUUCACCUCAAACAGAAACUCAUUGAGAUUUCAGAUCUUUGAACUUUGGACAGAUCAAACUGCCAGCGCUCACCUUUCUCUCCACUCAUUAGGAUUUAAAACAUAUGUAACCUCAUGACGGGAUCCAUUUGUCUCUAUGAGGGGAAAAAAAUGCAGUCUCCUCUCUUCCCCCCACCCCAAAACUCCUACAUUUAGCUGAAAUCAUUGAAACGAUCAUUUCCCAGAAUGGCGCCUCUGCUGCGGGAGCACUGCUCGGAUGGGUUUUGCCCAGCCGGGUUGUUUUAGGGGAAGCUCCUCGCCGGUUUCCGUCGUCAUUUUGUCACUCCCGAUUUAUUAUUGGCAAUCUAAUUUUCCUACCAAAGGCUCCUACACCUGCUCGUUGUUCCAAGAGGGAGCUACUGGCAG